AGAACGAACGCUGGCGGCAUGCCUAACACAUGCAAGUCGAACGCUUGCCCGGUUUCGGCCGGGCAGGAGUGGCGCACGGGUGAGUAGCGCGUGGGAACCUGCCCUGUUGUGGGGGAUAACCGAGGGAAACUUCGGCUAAUACCGCAUGCGCCCCGGGGAAACCCGGGGGAAAGAUUUAUCGCAGCAGGAGGGGCCCGCGUCGGAUUAGCUAGUUGGUGGGGUAACGGCCCACCAAGGCUGUGAUCCGUAGCUGGUCUGAGAGGAUGAUCAGCCACACUGGGACUGAGACACGGCCCAGACUCCUACGGGAGGCAGCAGUGGGGAAUAUUGGACAAUGGGCGCAAGCCUGAUCCAGCAAUGCCGCGUGAGUGAUGAAGGCCUUAGGGUUGUAAAGCUCUUUCGCCCGCGACGAUGAUGACGGUAGCGGGAGAAGAAGCCCGGCUAACUUCGUGCCAGCAGCCGC
rnacentral:rRNA from 1 species